GGCUCGGACCCAUGCGGUUGUAACGCCCAAAUCUUGUCAGGACCGGAAGGUAGCAGCAACAAGGGAUGCUUACGACAGGCGUGGACUUCGGGCCUUUU
rnacentral:SRP_RNA from 2 species